GGACCCGCACAAGCAGCGGAGCGUGUGGUUUAAUUCGAAGCAACGCGAAGAACCUUACCAAGUCUUGACAUCGUAUGACAAUCCGUAGAGAUACGGUAUUCCGCAAGGACAUACAGACAGAUGGUGCAUGGUUGUCGUCAGCUCGUGCCGUGAGGUGUUAGGUUAAGUCCUGCAACGAGCGCAACCCUUACCGAUAGUUACCAUUGACGGAUUAACUCUAUCGGGACUGCCUGGGUCAACCAGGAGGAAGGUGGGGAUGACGUCAAAUCAUCAUGCCUCUUACGACUUGGGCUACACACGCGCUACAAUGGCCGUUACAAAGAGACGCCAACCCGUAAGGGCGCGCAAAUCUCAAAAAGGCGGUCUCAGUUCGGACUGUGGGCUGCAACCCGCCCACACGAAGUCGGAGUUGCUAGUAAUCCCGAAUCAGCACGUCG
rnacentral:rRNA from 1 species